rnacentral:rRNA from 1 species
UAGGGAAUCUUCCACAAUGGGCGAAAGCCUGAUGGAGCAACGCCGCGUGCAGGAUGAAUGCCUUCGGGUUGUAAACUGCUUUUAUAUGUGACGAUUUUGACGGUAGCAUAUGAAUAAGGAUCGGCUAACUCCGUGCCAGCAGCCGCGGUCAUACGGAGGAUCCAAGCGUUAUCCGGAAUUACUGGGCGUAAAGAGUUGCGUAGGUGGCAUCGUAAGUCGGUAGUGAAAGCGUGGGGCUCAACCCCAUACACAUUAUCGAAACUGCGAAGCUAGAGGACGAGAGAGGUAAUUGGAAUUCCUAGUGUAGGAGUGAAAUCCGUAGAUAUUAGGAGGAACACCGAUGGCGUAGGCAGAUUACUGGCUCGUUCCUGACACUAAGGCACGAAAGCGUGGGGAGCAAACGGGAUUAGAUACCCCCGUAGUCC